rnacentral:rRNA from 1 species
CCUACGGGAGGCAGCAGUGGGGAAUAUUGGACAAUGGGGGGAACCCUGAUCCAGCCAUGCCGCGUGUGUGAAGAAGGCCCUCGGGUUGUAAAGCACUUUCAGUGAGGAAGAACGCCUGGUGGUUAAUACCCAUCAGGAAAGACAUCACUCACAGAAGAAGCACCGGCUAACUCCGUGCCAGCAGCCGCGGUAAUACGGAGGGUGCGAGCGUUAAUCGGAAUUACUGGGCGUAAAGCGCGCGUAGGUGGCUUGAUAAGCCGGUUGUGAAAGCCCCGGGCUCAAACUGGGAACGGCAUCCGGAACUGUCAAGCUAGAGUGCAGGAGAGGAAGGUAGAAUUCCCGGUGUAGCGGUGAAAUGCGUAGAGAUCGGGAGGAAUACCAGUGGCGAAGGCGGCCUUCUGGACUGACACUGACACUGAGGUGCGAAAGCGUGGGUAGCAAACAGGAUUAGAUACCCCGGUAGUC